UACAGAGGGUGCGAGCGUUGUCCGGAAUCACUGGGCGUAAAGGGCGCGUAGGUGGCGGCAUAAGGCCGUGGUGAAAGUCUGGGGCUCAACCCCAGAUCGGCCGCGGCGACUGUGUCGCUUGGGCACCGUAGAGGCAGAUGGAAUUCCGGGUGUAGCGGUGGAAUGCGUAGAGAUGUGGAGGAACACCGAUGGCGAAGGCAGCCCCCUGGGCUGAGAUUGACGCUCAGGCACGAAAGCGUGGGGAGCAAACAGG
rnacentral:rRNA from 1 species